AAAGCUAUAGUUUAUUUAAAACUUAUGAUUUGCAAUUAUAAAAUAUUCUUAGAAUUAGCUUUG
rnacentral:tRNA from 1 species